UACGUAGGGGGCAAGCGUUGUCCGGAAUCAUUGGGCGUAAAGAGCGUGUAGGCGGCCCGCUAAGUCCGCUGUGAAAGUCCAGGGCUCAACCCUGGAAUGCCGGUGGAUACUGUCGGGCUCGAAUCCGGAAGAGGUGAGUGGAAUUCCUGGUGUAGCGGUGAAAUGCGCAGAUAUCAGGAGGAACACCAAUGGCGAAGGCAGCUCACGGGGACGGUAUUGACGCUGAGACGCGAAAGCGUGGGGAGCGAACAGG
rnacentral:rRNA from 1 species